CAAAGAAAUUUAACAAAAAUAUUUGUUGACGACGACGUCACUCGGCUAAUGACGUCGUUUUUCCCAUUAAAUUACGUGCAUUUUCCGUUCGGCGGUACUUUGUAUGGCAUUUUUUGCAUUCUGUGUGUUUUUAUUUUUCAAACGCUCUUUGGCGUUUAACUACGCUCUGGUUUUUACACGGAAUACUUAAAAAGUAUUUGUGCACAUAUUCGACGGUUCGUUCAGUCAAUGCGGGCUCAGAUGUGUUCCGGACCCAGACCGAUAAGCGGU